ensembl:processed_transcript Gm11292 predicted gene 11292
AUGAAAAUACACUCCCAAUGACCGGAUCCUCUGAGACCUGCUCUCCAUCUGGUUCAGCACGCUGCUCUCUACAGCUGAAGAAGAGUCUACUCGCGAUUCUCUGGGUCGAUGGUUUUGCAACUGGACCAAGGUGCAAAGUAGAAGCGUUUACAGGCCACAUGCACCACAGUCUUUCAAAGAUAUCCUCGCCUUGCCAAAAGGUCUCUGUGCUGACGUCCGGAAGCUCUGUGCACCUCCCACAGUCUUGUUUGCCGCAUGAUGGUAAAACAGACUCAUUCUCUGUCGUCUGGAUUAAAUGGAGGAUAUAGAGACAUAGAGAAGUAAGGUGCGAGGUGAAGACCCCUUCAGAAUGCCAUCAGCGUGUCUAACUGGGACAUGGUGAUGGGACAUCAGAGCAGACACAGACCUCUCAUUGCAAGACGUCAACUGACACGGAUGUCUGUCUAUUGUAUGCAUGUGGAAAGGCAGGGCAGUUUAGCACGGAAGUCCAGCCCCAUCAAUAUGACAAGCAUCCCCUUUUGUCCCCACAUUCUGCUGUCAUCUUUCUUUCCCUUCCUUCCUUG